GCACGCUACAAUAAGGCGGAUAAGGUGCCAGAGGUGUACGACCUGUAUGCCAUGGCCCACACUGCCUCUUUCAAGAAAGUCAAGGCUUUCUCUCAGUCUGACAUCGAUGAUGCAAACAACUUCACCAACAUCUCCUCCCACAACAAGCUCGUGAGAUAUAGAGAUGAGGGGAAGGCGAGGAAAGGGGAGGACUUUAACCUGAGCCAGGGUCCCAUUGAUCCAGAGCUGUUGAUGAUAUCUGGUGGCGGGAGGUCCCAUGGCUCCAUAGCCAUUGGAGAUGGACUUAUCCGUUAUCCUAGCACUCUCCCGGAGAUCAAG
rnacentral:rRNA from 1 species